AACUUGUUGCUCUCGCUAUUAGAUGAGCCUAAGUCGGAUUAGCUAGAUGGUGGGGUAAAGGCCUACCAUGGCGACGAUCUGUAGCUGGUCUGAGAGGAUGAUCAGCCACACCGGGACUGAGACACGGCCCGGACUCCUACGGGAGGCAGCAGUGGGGAAUAUUGGACAAUGGGGGCAACCCUGAUCCAGACAGGCCGCGUGUGUGAAGAAGGCCUUUUGGUGUAAAGCAAAUUGAGCAGUGAAGAAGACUCCAUG
rnacentral:rRNA from 1 species